rnacentral:rRNA from 1 species
CUGUGGAAACACAGUGUGCGUAAGCGUCCGUGACAGGUGGUGCAUGGCUGUCGUCAGCUCGUGUCGUGAGAUGUUGGGUUAAGUCCCGCAACGAGCGCAACCCUUGUCCUAUGUUGCCAGCGGAUUAUGCCGGGGACUCAUAGGAGACUGCCGGGGACAACUCGGAGGAAGGCGGGGACGACGUCAAGUCAUCAUGCCCCUUAUGCCUAGGGCUGCACGCAUGCUACAAUGGCAGGUACAACGGGUUGCGAUCCCGCGAGGGUGAGCUAAUCCUCCAAAGCCUGUCUCAGUUCGGAUUGGAGUCUGCAACUCGACUCCAUGAAGCCGGAGUCGCUAGUAAUCGUGGAUCAGCAAUGCCGCGGUGAAUACGUUCUCGGGCCUUGUACACACCGCCCGUCACAUCACGAAAGUCGGCAACACCCGAAGUCAGUGGCCUAACCCUUAGGGGAGGGAGCUGCCGAAGGUGGGGUUGGCGAUUGGGAUGAAGUCGUAACAAGGUA